UUAAGCGACUAAGCGUACACGGUGGAUGCCCUGGCAGUCAGAGGCGAUGAAGGACGUGCUAAUCUGCGAAAAGCGUCGGUAAGGUGAUAUGAACCGUUAUAACCGGCGAUGUCCGAAUGGGGAAACCCAGUGCAAUUCGUUGCACUAUCGUUAACUGAAUACAUAGGUUAACGAGGCGAACCGGGGGAACUGAAACAUCUAAGUACCCCGAGGAAAAGAAAUCAACCGAGAUUCCCCCAGUAGCGGCGAGCGAACGGGGAGCAGCCCAGAGUCUGAAUCAGCUUGUGUGUUAGUGGAACGGUCUGGAAAGUCCGACGGUACAGGGUGAUAGUCCCGUACACCAAAAUGCACAGGCUGUGAACUCGAAGAGUAGGGCGGGACACGUGGUAUCCUGUCUGAAUAUGGGGGGACCAUCCUCCAAGGCUAAAUACUCCUGACUGACCGAUAGUGAACCAGUACCGUGAGGGAAAGGCGAAAAGAACCCCGGCGAGGGGAGUGAAAAAGAACCUGAAACCGUGUACGUACAAGCAGUGGGAGCACCUUCGGGUGUGACUGCGUACCUUUUGUAUAAUGGGUCAGCGACUUAUAUUCUGUAGCAAGGUUAACCGUAUAGGGGAGCCGCAGGGAAACCGAGUCUUAACUGGGCGUUAAGUUGCAGGGUAUAGACCCGAAACCCGGUGAUCUAGCCAUGGGCAGGUUGAAGGUUGGGUAACACUAACUGGAGGACCGAACCGACUAAUGUUGAAAAAUUAGCGGAUGACUUGUGGCUGGGGGUGAAAGGCCAAUCAAACCGGGAGAUAGCUGGUUCUCCCCGAAAGCUAUUUAGGUAGCGCCUCGUGAACUCAUCUUCGGGGGUAGAGCACUGUUUCGGCUAGGGGGUCAUCCCGACUUACCAACCCGAUGCAAACUACGAAUACCGAAGAAUGUUAUCACGGGAGACACACGGCGGGUGCUAACGUCCGUCGUGAAGAGGGAAACAACCCAGACCGCCAGCUAAGGUCCCAAAGUCAUGGUUAAGUGGGAAACGAUGUGGGAAGGCACAGACAGCCAGGAUGUUGGCUUAGAAGCAGCCAUCAUUUAAAGAAAGCGUAAUAGCUCACUGGUCGAGUCGGCCUGCGCGGAAGAUGUAACGGGGCUAAACCAUGCACCGAAGCUGCGGCAGCGACACUAUGUGUUGUUGGGUAGGGGAGCGUUCUGUAAGCCUGCGAAGGUGACCUGUGAGGGUUGCUGGAGGUAUCAGAAGUGCGAAUGCUGACAUAAGUAACGAUAAAGCGGGUGAAAAGCCCGCUCGCCGGAAGACCAAGGGUUCCUGUCCAACGUUAAUCGGGGCAGGGUGAGUCGACCCCUAAGGCGAGGCCGAAAGGCGUAGUCGAUGGGAAACAGGUUAAUAUUCCUGUACUUGGUGUUACUGCGAAGGGGGGACGGAGAAGGCUAUGUUAGCCGGGCGACGGUUGUCCCGGUUUAAGCAUGUAGGCUGGUUGUCCAGGCAAAUCCGGAUAAUCAAGGCUGAGGUGUGAUGACGAGGCACUACGGUGCUGAAGUAACAAAUGCCCUGCUUCCAGGAAAAGCCUCUAAGCAUCAGGUAACAUUAAAUCGUACCCCAAACCGACACAGGUGGUCAGGUAGAGAAUACCAAGGCGCUUGAGAGAACUCGGGUGAAGGAACUAGGCAAAAUGGUGCCGUAACUUCGGGAGAAGGCACGCUGGUGUGUAGGUGAAGUCCCUGCGGAUGGAGCUGAGACCAGUCGAAGAUACCAGCUGGCUGCAACUGUUUAUUAAAAACACAGCACUGUGCAAACACGAAAGUGGACGUAUACGGUGUGACGCCUGCCCGGUGCCGGAAGGUUAAUUGAUGGGGUUAUCCGUAAGGAGAAGCUCUUGAUCGAAGCCCCGGUAAACGGCGGCCGUAACUAUAACGGUCCUAAGGUAGCGAAAUUCCUUGUCGGGUAAGUUCCGACCUGCACGAAUGGCGUAAUGAUGGCCAGGCUGUCUCCACCCGAGACUCAGUGAAAUUGAACUCGCUGUGAAGAUGCAGUGUACCCGCGGCAAGACGGAAAGACCCCGUGAACCUUUACUAUAGCUUGACACUGAACAUUGAGCCUUGAUGUGUAGGAUAGGUGGGAGGCUUUGAAGCGUGGACGCCAGUCUGCGUGGAGCCAACCUUGAAAUACCACCCUUUAAUGUUUGAUGUUCUAACGUUGGCCCCUUAUCGGGGUUGCGGACAGUGUCUGGUGGGUAGUUUGACUGGGGCGGUCUCCUCCCAAAGCGUAACGGAGGAGCACGAAGGUUAGCUAAUCCUGGUCGGACAUCAGGAGGUUAGUGCAAUGGCAUAAGCUAGCUUGACUGCGAGCGUGACGGCGCGAGCAGGUGCGAAAGCAGGUCAUAGUGAUCCGGUGGUUCUGAAUGGAAGGGCCAUCGCUCAACGGAUAAAAGGUACUCCGGGGAUAACAGGCUGAUACCGCCCAAGAGUUCAUAUCGACGGCGGUGUUUGGCACCUCGAUGUCGGCUCAUCACAUCCUGGGGCUGAAGUAGGUCCCAAGGGUAUGGCUGUUCGCCAUUUAAAGUGGUACGCGAGCUGGGUUUAGAACGUCGUGAGACAGUUCGGUCCCUAUCUGCCGUGGGCGCUGGAGAAUUGAGGGGGGCUGCUCCUAGUACGAGAGGACCGGAGUGGACGCAUCACUGGUGUUCGGGUUGUCAUGCCAAUGGCACUGCCCGGUAGCUAAAUGCGGAAGAGAUAAGUGCUGAAAGCAUCUAAGCACGAAACUUGCCCCGAGAUGAGUUCUCCCUGAGACUUUAAGUCUCCUGAAGGAACGUUAAAGACGAUGACGUUGAUAGGCCGGGUGUGUAAGCGCAGCGAUGCGUUGAGCUAACCGGUACUAAUGAACCGUGAGGCUUAACCUU
rnacentral:rRNA from 1 species